GUUAGGAAAGACUUCAAGGAAGAUUAGCAUGGCCCCUGCGCAAGAAAGACACAGAAAUUCGCGAAGCACUCCACGCUCUU
ensembl:snRNA U6 U6 spliceosomal RNA